rnacentral:rRNA from 1 species
GACGAACGCUGGCGGCGUGCUUAACACAUGCAAGUCGAACGGAAAGGCCCUGCUUUUGUGGGGUGCUCGAGUGGCGAACGGGUGAGUAACACGUGAGUAACCUGCCCUUGACUUUGGGAUAACUUCAGGAAACUGGGGCUAAUACCGGAUAGGAGCUCCUGCUGCAUGGUGGGGGUUGGAAAGUUUCGGCUGUUGGGGAUGGACUCGCGGCUUAUCCGCUUGUUGGUGGGGUAGUGGCGUACCAAGGCUUUGACGGGUAGCCGGCCUGAGAGGGUGACCGGCCACAUUGGGCCUACGAGACGGCGCAGUAUCGUACGGGACGCAGCAGUGGGGAAUCUUGCACAAUGGGCGGAAGCCAGAUGCAGCGACGCCGCGUGCGGGAUGACGGCCUUCGAGUUGUAAACCGAUUUCGCCUGUGACGAAGCGUGCGUGACGGUAAUGGGUAAAGAAGCCCCGGCUAACUACGUG